AGAGAGUUCAAGAGUACGUGAAACCGUUCAGGGGUAAACGGGAGAAAUCCUGAAUUCGAAAGGGGUUGGAUUCAAGGCCAUCCGCUCGUAAGCAGUCUGCUCCCCACCAGAUGGCGCCGGUCGCCCGUGGCGAUUCAUUUCGCAUGCGGUGUCGUACCUGGCGAUCACUCGGAGGGGCGGCUUUGUAUCUGGCGACGGAGGUGUGCACUUCCCCCCUAGUAGAAACGUCGCGACCCGUUGGGUGUCGGUCUAAGGCCCGGGAUGGCAGACCAUGUGUCCUGUGUGGGUUUCCACAGGCUCGUGGACNCCUGGUGACCCGGCUGGCUGCCCGACGGUAUGAUCAGAGGAGUCGAUCCGCUAAAUGGAAAACACUUGGUGUGUGAAGCGUCCGGCCCGGCGCCGAUACGUGCAGGGUUGAGGUGUAAACCAGGGGUGCCCGUGCGAAGCAUGGCCCUGGCCCUGCUCGUUGUCGGUUACGGUGUCCUCGGACUGGAUCAGUACUCCCGUCUGCGACGCCCAUCUUCGGAUGGUC
rnacentral:rRNA from 1 species